rnacentral:rRNA from 1 species
CCUGGCUCAGGAUGAACGCUAGCUACAGGCUUAACACAUGCAAGUCGAGGGGCAGCAUGGUCUUAGCUUGCUAAGGCCGAUGGCGACCGGCGCACGGGUGAGUAACACGUAUCCAACCUGCCGUCUACUCUUGGACAGCCUUCUGAAAGGAAGAUUAAUACAAGAUGGCAUCAUGAGUCCGCAUGUUCACAUGAUUAAAGGUAUUCCGGUAGACGAUGGGGAUGCGUUCCAUUAGAUAGUAGGCGGGGUAACGGCCCACCUAGUCUUCGAUGGAUAGGGGUUCUGAGAGGAAGGUCCCCCACAUUGGAACUGAGACACGGUCCAAACUCCUACGGGAGGCAGCAGUGAGGAAUAUUGGUCAAUGGGCGAGAGCCUGAACCAGCCAAGUAGCGUGAAGGAUGACUGCCCUAUGGGUUGUAAACUUCUUUUAUAAAGGAAUAAAGUCGGGUAUGGAUACCCGUUUGCAUGUACUUUAUGAAUAAGGAUCGGCUAACUCCGUGCCAGCAGCCGCGGUAAUACGGAGGAUCCGAGCGUUAUCCGGAUUUAUUGGGUUUAAAGGGAGCGUAGAUGGAUGUUUAAGUCAGUUGUGAAAGUUUGCGGCUCAACCGUAAAAUUGCAGUUGAUACUGGAUAUCUUGAGUGCAGUUGAGGCAGGCGGAAUUCGUGGUGUAGCGGUGAAAUGCUUAGAUAUCACGAAGAACUCCGAUUGCGAAGGCAGCCUGCUAAGCUGCAACUGACAUUGAGGCUCGAAAGUGUGGGUAUCAAACAGGAUUAGAUACCCUGGUAGUCCACACGGUAAACGAUGAAUACUCGCUGUUUGCGAUAUACUGCAAGCGGCCAAGCGAAAGCGUUAAGUAUUCCACCUGGGGAGUACGCCGGCAACGGUGAAACUCAAAGGAAUUGACGGGGGCCCGCACAAGCGGAGGAACAUGUGGUUUAAUUCGAUGAUACGCGAGGAACCUUACCCGGGCUUAAAUUGCAGAUGAAUUACGGUGAAAGCCGUAAGCCGCAAGGCAUCUGUGAAGGUGCUGCAUGGUUGUCGUCAGCUCGUGCCGUGAGGUGUCGGCUUAAGUGCCAUAACGAGCGCAACCCUUGUUGUCAGUUACUAACAGGUUCCGCUGAGGACUCUGACAAGACUGCCAUCGUAAGAUGUGAGGAAGGUGGGGAUGACGUCAAAUCAGCACGGCCCUUACGUCCGGGGCUACACACGUGUUACAAUGGGGGGUACAGAGGGCCGCUACCACGCGAGUGGAUGCCAAUCCCCAAAACCUCUCUCAGUUCGGACUGGAGUCUGCAACCCGACUCCACGAAGCUGGAUUCGCUAGUAAUCGCGCAUCAGCCACGGCGCGGUGAAUACGUUCCCGGGCCUUGCACACACCGCC